UAACAUCUAGUCUAAUUCUAUGUUUGUUAGUAGCAGGGAUUAGCAUGUUUGUUAGCAGCAGAGAUUAGCAUUAGUGGGACUAGGAGGGACUCGCGUUCACUAAAGCCUUCACUAGUGAACUCUUCAAAAACAGCCGGACUGCUAAGACCAGCUUCAUUCGCCCCUCUAAUCCUCUGCGAGCUUCAUCGAUCUCGCUCUUUCUUCUUUCAGACCCAUGGAUCUCAUCCCUUGCAAAUCAAUAGCAGCAGCAAUAGCAUAUCGAUGACUACAUCAUCAAAUCAAUCUCAUCCUUCUGUGGAGGGGAUGCUGAGGAUUGAUGGGUUGUUUUAGAGGAAUCGAUCGACGGCGGCGACUCAGGCUUCUCUCUUGCUGUAAUCCAGCCUCUCUUCCUCUCACAGGUAACGACUCAAGCUUCUCGAAGUAGUAGAGAAAAAAAAUGGAGUUUUAACUUUGGAAUUAUCAGUUUGGUAUUUGAAGUCUGGUGGGAUUAGUCUGAAGAAAAAAAUGGUGCAAGAAUCUUUCAGUGGGAAUAGUCUGUGUGUUUUUUUGUUAUUCAUGGUGUUUGCUCCAUUAAUUGGGUAUUUUGUGUUUAGAGAUUUUGGAUUAAACAAUUGGUUAAACUUGCAAGUUUAUGUACAAGCAAAGUAAUUGAUUUUUCAUUUAUCCUCACUUUUUUUAUUAUGUUGACUCAAAAGCAGUAGCUUCAGAAGCAAAAACUAAUAAUAAAAAUAAAAUUACAUUUUUUGUCUUUUGUUAA